GGCUGGUCUGAGUGCAGGGGUGUUUACAACUAAUUGAUUACAACAGUUACAGAUUCCUUUGUUCCUUCUCCACUCCCACUGCUUCGCUUGACCAGCCCAAA
rnacentral:Y_RNA from 1 species